UACAGAGGGUGCGAGCGUUGUUCGGAAUUAUUGGGCGUAAAGCGCGUGUAGGCGGUGAUGCAUGUCGGGUGUGAAAGCCCUCAGCUCAACUGAGGAAGUGCGCCCGAAACUGCAUCGCUGGAGUGCCGGAGAGGAAGGCGGAAUUCCCGGUGUAGAGGUGAAAUUCGUAGAUAUCGGGAGGAACACCAGUGGCGAAGGCGGCCUUCUGGACGGACACUGACGCUGAGACGCGAAAGCGUGGGUAGCAAACAGG
rnacentral:rRNA from 1 species